GUGUGUUGGUGGGAGAUCGAUUUCCUGAGCGGUAGAGUAAGCUGCAAGUGUAGCAUCAGCUGCUUCAUCACGGUGAUCCCCAGUCUUGAACUCCGCAAGGUAUCUGUGGUAAUCGCCUUUCAUUUUGAGGUAGAAGACUUUGGAUUCCGGUGAGUUUGCAGACGGAAUGAGGUGAGAUCCGAGCAGGUUCAGGAUUUUGUUGCAUAUCGAGUCCAUUUCGGAUUCGAUC
rnacentral:lncRNA from 1 species